rnacentral:lncRNA from 1 species
UAGAAACUGAAACACCUUAUUCUCAUCAUUUUCCUGUAUUAUACCAUCUUUGGUAGCACAAACACAUCUCUGACCAUGAUUUGUACACAUAGAUUCUAAUUCAUCCCACAGACCUUUAAGUUUAUUGAAAUAUGAAGCUACAUCUAGGGACCCUUGAGAGGUGUGAGAAAGCUCUCUUUUCAAUUCAAAAAUUUUGGUCAUGUUGGUAGUGCCAUAUCUUGCCUGAAGCUGGAACCAUAUACUCUGUGCAGUAUCAGAAUACUGCAGACUUUCAGCAAUUUGAAGGGAGAGGGAGGCAGUCAACCAGGAAAUCACCAUAUUAUUGCAUCUGUCCAAUAGUCUUUGCUGAGUCACAUUAGUGACUGGCUGGGGACAGGUGCCAUCAACAAAACCAAUUUUGUUUUUAGCAGACAACGCGACAAUCAUCUUCCUCCUCCAACCCCCAUAGCCACUGCCCGAGAAGGGAGUGGACACAAGAGAGACUCCAGGAACAUCAGAGGAGUAGAUAAAAAGGGGACUGGUAGGGUCCACUAAGGAGGUACUAGCAUUCAUAUUAGAAGCCAUGAACAACAAUCAGUUUGAAAUAAAAAAAAACAGUCUCAUGAUAAAAAGGGGACUGGUAGAGUCCACUGAGGAGGUACUAGCAUUAAUAUUAGAAGCCAUGAACAAUAAUCAGUUUGAAAUAUAAAAAAACAGUCUCAGAACCCACAUGCAAAACAUACAACACUUAGAAUAGGGAUAGAGUUACCCUUCUUCUUCGCGACCGGAGAAGAACGACCUUCAAUCGCCAGAUAAAACCCUAGGUUCAAAACCCUAGGUCCAAACGCCGGAAACCUUACUGGAAACUUACCGAAAUAGGGUCAGGGAUGUCGGAAAAUCACCCAAAACAUCCACUGAGUGAGGAUCGAGCCACCGAAUAGCAGUAAAACCCUAGGUUCAACAACCAGAAACCCUAGAAUCUAGAGAGUCACCGGAAAAUCACCCAAAAGUCACCGGAAAAUCACCCAAAACGUUCGAGUGAAGAAGAUAUAGCCAGAUAUCACGAUGAAAGUCUCAGAAGAGGAUCGAUCCACCGGAUAGCAGUAAAACCCUAGGUUCAACCACCAAAAACUCUAGAAUCUGGAGAGUCACCGGAAAAAGGUCAGGGAUGUCGGAAAAUCACCCAAAACAUCCACUGAGUGAAGAUCGAAGCAUCAAACAGCAGUAAAAGCUCCGAUUAUCCGUUCAAUAUACAUCGUUCUCUCGGUAAACAGAAUCUCUCACAAAUAUCCAAGAAAAAACCUUCAAUAAGACUUCCAACACGGCCGAUAACAAGUAACGGAGAAGAAUCCGAGGAUCAUCCUACUCUGAUACCAUGAAAACAUACGGAUUGAAGGCAAAGUAGUGAGAGAUACAGUGAGAGAAAGAGAGAGAAGAUGGGAGAACUCUUUGGAAUGUCCAAGAG